ACGGUUGGAGAGAGGAGGUGGACUGGCAAAAUAUCUCAUGAGCCUUGGUCGCCUCCGGUUUACCUUCCCCGUCUCCAAUACCUACCGCCGUCGCAGCCUCCUCUCGGUUUCUGAUGCUGCCGCUCCGAUGAAGAUUACCACGCCACUGUUGCUUAGAUCCCUGGAGAAGGGGAACAGCAGUCGCGCCAGGCGGCAUGCCUCGUCCGAGCCGCAUGGUGGCCGACACAUCGGCGCUUUCAUGGUCGGUCCUGGGCGGUGCCUUGUCAGCGUCGUGGAUGGCUUGGGCAGCGCCUUGGCAUCCAAGAGGGGCGAAGUGGGCCGGCCAGCAUGCGUGGGGCGCAAAGGCCACGAGCAGGAAGGAGAUGCGCUGGAGGGGAUGGAGGAGGAAGUUGGAGGUGGCAUCAGCGUCCAUGGCGACGCCGCCAAGGGACCCCCCUGCACACCUCAGCGUCCAUGGCAACGCCGCCAUGGGAACCCCCCUGCACACCUCGGCAUGCCUCGUCUGUGCCACAUGGUGGCCGAGAUGCGGCCGCCCAUGCUCUGCCGGUGCCGUCUCAUCCUCUUCAUCAAGAGGAGGCAUCUCUGCCGGACCACGCCUCCCCAUCUACCGCACUGUAAUGGCCACCUCCUGGAUGAGGCUGAGGUGAGCAUCAUGACGAUGAGCAGGCCUGUGGCUGAUGUAGAGAGCUCCUUCAACGGGAAGUAGCAGUGCUGGAAGAACUUGAAGAUGAGCAGGUCAAUUUUGACAUGUCCAGUUAGUUCGGGUGAAUUCAUGGCCAAGAUGGACGGAUUUCUGUUGUGUGGGCUAGAGGUUCUUGAGGUAGAGCACCAGCACCAACUAAGCUUCCAUUCUGGUAAAAUGUGGAAAUUAGCAAGCAGGCUAUAGUCGGUGCAUGGAUGACCAAGUUUACUUAUUACUUUAUGAAGAUGAUGAUUCCUAAAUGGAAUUAGGAGCUAGGUCCAGCAUGUUGAUUGUGCUUCAAGGUACAGUUGUUUGUACCUUAUAAAACUAAUGCUUUUUAUUGGUGUGCAUCUUGACCGAAAGCUUGAUUCAUAGAUAGCUUCUCUUUGGCCAUGUGAUUAUUUGAAGAUUUUUGCUCUAUGUUGUUUCCCUUGAUUAGGUUCAGAAGAUGAUUGCAGCAAUUAGUCCAAUUAAUAUUUUGUUCAUAUGCUUUGAAUAAAACUGUGUUCAGAGAUCAUGUUGUAUGCACUUAGGGUGCAUCCAAUCAUUUUUGUAGGUUGAAACACGAGAAGAAGUACUAUCUUGCCUGCCUGAAAUUGACAGGAGCUUAGUCUGAAUGUCGAAGAAAUACUGGAAUGUAGGAUGGAGAGGUUAGCAUGCUUACUCCAUGUAAUAAUUUCAGAACUACUGUGUUAUAGUAAUGUAUUUAGCUAAACCUUUCAUUCGGCACAUCCAUAACUCAACCAGUUUAUGCAUGAUGAUUUAGGGCGUAUUUAUUUCCAAAGCAAACAAACUACCGGUCUUCGCUGGGUAAGGAUAGGUGUUUGGUACCGAAACAAAAAUUUACUUUGUCGGGCUAACUAGCAUGCAUGGGCUAGACAAUCUUGGCACACUGGGAAAACAAUGUAAUGUUGCAGCAUGUCAACAUCAUGUUCUAAACCAUUUUUAGUGGCUGAGAGAAGAAACAAUUGUCCAGGCUCAUAAGAAAGAGCUUUUAAUUUUAGGCCAUUGUUUCGACGAGCUGGUGAACAACCUGGGUAUCUAAUUUUAUAUGAGCCAGGGAAAGCAAUUUUAUACCUAACAGCUCUCCCCUGAUUUGGAUCUUUGUUGGCCGUUCGAUCUUGCUCAUUUCGGUCAAUUGUGCCAGUUCGGUCGUCCGAUCCUUGCAUCGUGUUAUCACCUUGCCUAUUUUAUUCUCCUCACUUUGUCAUGGAUUAACAUCAUAUUACUAAUUUUUUGUGUUGAACUAACCAGUUUAACAAUCAAAAUUGAUGGCCUUGCAUCAACUGUUGUUGUUCUGCUAGCCAUAGGCUGCCCUCAGGUUCAUAAUUCUAAGCUUGGACCAUGUGGCCCACCUUAACCAAUGCAGCUUGAUGACUCCGUGUGGUUGCUAGGGGAACAGGUUGUGCUGAUAAAAGUCCAUGAAUUUUUUAUUAGCAUCAUUAUUUUUCAAUUUGAUCUAUUGUUUUCUAGCUUUUCUUGUGUAUCAACUUCCAUAUACGGUACUGUUUGUCAAGCAUUACUAUUGUUCUCACUUAGAAUUUUUUAUUUUCUUCUUUGCUACUUUAAAUUUAGAUGCUCAAGAAAUUUGGUAAGUAUCAUAGUGGUUCGGGCCUUGGUGCUACAUGAGACACAAUCACCUUCAAAGUACAUGUGUGUAUUAUGGAUAUUAAUGCUUUUGCUCAUUCUAAUUUUUUACUUAAGGUGGUUACAUUUUCUUACUUUUUGCUGAAAUAGAGUGAAUUCAGUCAUGAACAUGCAUUGAUAUAUUUAUUGUUAGUUUAUCUUCGUGUUAUCGGUAUGCUUUCGAUGGCUGCAACCUGAACUAAUUAUAUCACUAUUCCCAUCUUACUUAGUGGCAUUGCUAUGCUUCACAGUAUACAAUGUUUUGCAUGCCAGUAUAAUUCAUAAGUGGUUUUCGUAUUUAGGUGUUAUUAAUAUGGUGAGUGAUUGAAGGGGAGGCAUGAGGAGAAGAGCAGUCCAAAGGGUGGAUGGAGCAUGUCACUUGUUGAUGUUCUUUCCAUUUCCGGACAGAACAGCCGUUCUAUGAUUUGGGUGUAUGUUGAUGUGUGAAAGUCAAUCAUUUGGAUUCCCAACUAGACUAUUGUGUGUGUUUAAUAUUUUAUUGUGCAUUGAUAAAAUGUUUCAGUGCCCAUGUGCACAAGUUAAAUUUUGAAAUAGAUGAAAGGACAACACAGCAUAAGGGAGUUUGCCCUUUAGGAAGGUUCUUGUCUGCUGUUGUGAUUAAAAUUAGGAAAUUUAUAUACCUAUAGCAGGAUAGUUGCUCAAGCUCAAGUCUUAUGUAACAUGUAACAUCUAAACUAUGUUUGUGCUAAUAAUUUUUCCCAUUGAAAAA